rnacentral:rRNA from 1 species
UGGGGAAUUGUUCGCAAUGGGCGCAAGCCUGACGACGCAACGCCGCGUGAAGGAUGAAGUAUUUCGGUAUGUAAACUUCGAAAGAAUAGGAAGAAUAAAUGACGGUACUAUUUAUAAGGUCCGGCUAACUACGUGCCAGCAGCCGCGGUAAUACGUAGGGACCAAGCGUUGUUCGGAUUUACUGGGCGUAAAGGGCGCGUAGGCGGUGUGUCAAGUCAGUUGUGAAAUCUCCGAGCUUAACUCGGAACGGUCAACUGAUACUGUCACACUAGAGUACAGAAGGGGCAAUCGGAAUUCUUGGUGUAGCGGUGAAAUGCGUAGAUAUCAAGAGGAACACCUGAGGCGAAGGCGGGUUGCUGGGCUGAUACUGACGCUGAGGCGCGAAAGCUAGGGUAGCAAACGGGAUUAGAUACCCCCGUAGUCCCUGAGCGGGCUGGCAAGGCGCAU